AAAAAAGAAAAAAAGAAAAACAACGCACAUCCCCACGUCCUCGUAUCCCACCUCCCACUCCCUUCCCCAAAUCCCCCGCUCUCAAUUCCCUAUUCUCUCCAGAGAGGAAUCACCGCUGCCGACCUCCUCCCUCCUAUAGCGACGGAGGCGGACGCCGGGUUGGGUCGGACGCCCACGUGGAAGGAGCGGGAGAACAACAAGCGGCGCGAGCGCCGGCGCCGGGCCAUCGCCACCAAGAUCUUCACCGGCCUCCGCGCGCUCGACAGCUACAAGCUCCUCAAGGAGCUCUGCCGCGAGGCCGAAUGGGUCGUGGAGGAUGACGGCACCACCUACCGCAAGGGAUACAAGCAGCCGUCGUCCGGGCCGUUCGGUGGGGUCUCGUCGGUGGGCAUGAGCCCUUGCUCGUCCUCGCAGCUGCUCGGUGCAUCGUCGUUCCUGAGCCCGGUGCCUUCCUACCACCCCAGCUCGGCGUCAUCCAGCUUCCCGAGCCCCACGCGCCUCGACAACCCCAGCCCCGCCUACCUCUUCCCAUUCCUCCGUGGCCUCCCCAACCUGCCCCUGCUCCGGGUCUCCAACAGCAGGGGGUGA
rnacentral:rRNA from 1 species